rnacentral:rRNA from 1 species
GGGCGCAAGCCUGAUGCAGCGACGCCGCGUGAGGGAUGAAGGCCUUCGGGUUGUAAACCUCUUUCAGUAGGGAAGAAGCGAAAGUGACGGUACCUGCAGAAGAAGCGCCGGCUAACUACGUGCCAGCAGCCGCGGUAAUACGUAGGGCGCAAGCGUUAUCCGGAAUUAUUGGGCGUAAAGAGCUCGUAGGCGGUUUGUCGCGUCUGCCGUGAAAGUCCGGGGCUUAACUCCGGAUCUGCGGUGGGUACGGGCAGACUUGAGUGAUGUAGGGGAGACUGGAAUUCCUGGUGUAGCGGUGAAAUGCGCAGAUAUCAGGAGGAACACCGAUGGCGAAGGCAGGUCUCUGGGCAUUAACUGACGCUGAGGAGCGAAAGCAUGGGGAGCGAACAGGAUUAGAUACCCUGGUAGUCCAUGCCGUAAACGUUGGGCACUAGGUGUGGGGGACAUUCCACGUUUUCCGCGCCGUAGCUAACGCAUUAAGUGCCCCGCCUGGGGAGUACGGCCGCAAGGCUAAAACUCAAAGGAAUUGACGGGGGCCCGCACAAGCGGCGGAGCAUGCGGAUUAAUUCGAUGCAC